rnacentral:rRNA from 1 species
GGACCCGCACAAGUAGUGGAGCAUGUGGUUUAAUUCGAAGAUACGCGCAGAACCUUACCAACACUUGACAUGUUCGUCGCGACUCUAAGAGAUUAGAGUUUUCGGUUCGGCCGGACGAAACACAGGUGCUGCAUGGCUGUCGUCAGCUCGUGUCGUGAGAUGUUGGGUUAAGUCCCGCAACGAGCGCAACCCUCACUUUUAGUUGCCAUCAUUUAGUUGGGCACUCUGAAAGAACUGCCAGUGAUAAGCUGGAGGAAGGUGGGGAUGACGUCAAGUCCUCAUGGCCCUUACGUGUUGGGCUACACACGUGCUACAAUGGUAUCUACAACAGGAAGCAAGACUGCGAGGUCAAGCAAAUCCCAUAAACCGUGGCUCAGUUCAGAUCGUAGGCUGCAACUCGCCUACGUGAAGGCGGAAUCGCUAGUAAUCG